AACCAGUGAUGCAGAUGAUUCUGCCAUAUGAUCAUAAAUGAUUCUACUCUUAAUCCGUUCCUUUCUUCUGAGGUU